ACAUCCAGAGAAUUUAGCAGAGAUGCUUUAGUGCCUUCGGGAACUCUGAGACAGGCGCUGCAUGGCUGUCGUCAGCUCGUGUUGUGAAAUGUUGGGUUAAGUCCCGNAACGAGCGCAACCCUUAUCCUUUGUUGCCAGCACGUAAUGGUGGGAACUCAAAGGAGACUGCCGGUGAUAAACCGGAGGAAGGUGGGGAUGACGUCAAGUCAUCAUGGCCCUUACGAGUAGGGCUACACACGUGCUACAAUGACGCAUACAAAGAGAAGCGACCUCGCGAGAGCAAGCGGACCUCAUAAAGUGCGUCGUAGUCCGGAUUGGAGUCUGCAACUCGACUCCAUGAAGUCGGAAUCGCUAGUAAUCGUAAAUCAGAAUGUUACGGUGAAUACGUUCCCGGGCCUUGUACACACCGCCCGUCACACCAUGGGAGUGGGUUGCAAAAGAAGUAGAUAGCUUAACCUUCGGGAGGGCGUUUACCACUUUGUGAUUCAUGACUGGGGUGAAGUCGUAACAAGGUAGGCGUAGUGCU
rnacentral:rRNA from 1 species